UCCCUGGUGGCUCAGUGGUAAAGAAUCUGCCUGCAAUGCAGGAGACCCGGGUUCGAUCCCUGGGUUGGGAA
rnacentral:tRNA from 1 species